AGAUAUAAGAUAUAAGAUUUGAUUCUUUUUGUAGAAACAAAGUAGUAACAAUAUUUAGAGGAAAAAUAAAAAAUUGCGGCCCAACUUGAAACAGAGUUGCAACCCCAUUUGAAAAAUAUGCAGUUGCGAACCCACUUAAAAACUUGCAGUUGCGUCCCCACUUGAAAUCUUGUGGUUGCGACCCUAGUUUGAAACUUGCAGUUGCGACCUGAUUUGAAAACUUACAGUUGCAGCCCCACUUUGAAAUCUUGCAGUUGGACCCGACUUGAAAACUUACAGUUGUGACCCUAUUUGAAGACCUGCAGCUGCGACCGCACUUAAAAGCCUGCAGUUGCAACCCAACUUAGAAUCUUGCAGUUCUGACCCCACUUUGAAAUCUUGCAGUUCCGACCCCACUUUGAAAACUUAAAGUUACAAUCCUAUUUGAAGACUUGCAGUUACUUCAUGGCUUCAAAACUUGCAAUUGCAACUCCGGCUUGAAUAGUUAUAGUUACAACCCAUUUGAAUAAUUCUAAAAAAAUGUUUUACCUAAAAAAUGAUAACACAUAAAAAGAUGGGUCUCAGUGGCAUGUCUUCAAGUCAGUUUAGUAAGUAAUUAUGAAAAACAUUAACACAUAAAAAUAAACACAAAAGGUAAAAAGUAAAUAUGAAAAAGAUAACAAAAAAGUAAAUAAAACAUAAUGAAACAAAAAAGGAAACGAUAAAUAAAUAAAUACCGUAUAAAAAUAUUCUAAAUUUUAAAUGAAAAAAUAAUACAUACAAAAUGAGACCAAAAAUAUAUAAAACAGAGAAAAAAACCAUAAAAACCAGUGAGAAAGAUUUUUUCAAAUUGUUCGCUGCUACCACUUGUAGGCUCUAAUGGGGCCGGCCCGAAAAGUAGCACCUGUGUGUGAGCGAUCAACAACCUAGCCAAAAAAAACCUAGCCAAAAAAAGAAAAAAAACAACCUAGCCACUAAACUUGAGCAGGCGCAGAUGUCCACUGUUACUAAUCCUAUGGCGUACCCUAAAAAAAACUAAUCCUACGGCUACACAGGUGAAUGAUGCUAAGCUAAAACCAAAACCGUUGCAACAAACGUUUCGCAGCCUUUAAUGCAGCAAACCACGGCCCUCCUGACUCUAUUUCUCAUAUACUACUAUAUGCUUGUAAAUGAUCUAUCUAUUAUUUGAGAAAUAAAGUCAUAUUAUUGUCAAAAAAAAAACAACAGAAAACACGGCACCAAUCUUCACGCGGAGACCGGCGGCGACAGACGUGCCGAUAACUAGAAUUUUCAUUUUCAGGCACGCAGGCGAUACUGACGCAUAUUUUGGGGCGUGUGGGUGGACCGUGGAGUACUUAAAUAGAAGUAUACCAAUGACGACACUGCUCUUAUACGUGCGUGCGACCCACUCGCCGUGUCUGUCGGCGAGUAAGUAGUACGUUGACCCUCCAUGAGUGCUCUGCAUGACCCCUUUUUUCUUCAAGUUAUCUCAAAGCUAGUGCUUUCCAUGACUAACGUUCAGCCCUCAGGAAAAACAUCAACUGUCCAAUUCUAUAACCUGAUACACGGGCGCCUAUCAUUGUGCAAUGUAUCCCCUCCAUAAACAAUUUCUAAACUCCUUGUUCCUCUCCCUCAGGUCACCUCUACAAUCUUCCAUUGCUCAGACCAAAAGAUCACACAAUCUUCCAUUCAAGAACUCACAAUCCAGUAGCCAUGUCUUGGGCUGAAACCAUGUUGCUGUUCCUCCUCUUCGCGCUCUCCAUUCCCCCUCCCUCCCAAGCUUGGUCCGUCGAUUAUCCGAGCCCCAUCGCCAACCUUCCUUCCCACUGGACCAACAACAACGCCACCAUCCCCUCCAAUGCCACAUACGCCGACGGCUCGACGAUCAGAGCCAUCCUCGUCAGGCAAAACCCCGCCGGGUAUGCCCCGUCCUUCGCCUGCGGCUUCAUCUGCCCCGCUCCCUGCGACGGGGCUUUCCUCUUCGCGGUCUUCUCCGUGUCCAUUGGCGGUUCCGGCACCAGCGCCCCAGCCAAUGCCACGGCCGCACCGAGGGUCGUGUGGGCGGCCAACAGGCACCAUCCGGUGAAGGAGAAUGCAUCAGUCCAGCUCACCAAGGAUAGCAAUCUCAUACUCCGAGACUUUGAUGGUUCGCUGGUCUGGUCCACAAAUACAUUGCGCGGCCCCGUCGUCGGUGUGAAUCUGGCUGACACCGGCAACCUGAUCCUCUUCGAUGUGAUGGGGAAGACGGUGUGGGAGUCGUUUGAGCACCCUACCGACACCCUCCUUAUUGGGCAGUCGCUGAGGCAAGGGAAGAGGCUUACUUCAGCUUCCUCAAACUUGACUCAAGGUCAGUUCUACCUCACCGUGCUUGACCAUGGCCUCUAUGCUUUCGUCGAUGCAGAUACUCCGCAGUCUUACUAUCAGAAAAGAUUUAAUGUCACCGAUGCAGUUGUUCAAUCAAAGAUGAACAUUUCCUCUGAUGAAGCAAAGAAUGGCACCGCCUACAUUUCCUUGUUACGAGGCAGCCUCUCAGCAUUUGCCAGCUUAAGCAGCACACGCAUCAAGUUAUUCGAUAUGUCCCUGCCAUGGCCAUCUUCAGCACAGCUCAUGAGUCUCGAGGAUGAUGGGCACCUGCGCCUUUAUGGCUGGAACGGUCUCUCAUGGAAGUCUUUGGCUGAUGUUCUGAAUGUGGAUCCAGAGGAAUGUGCAUAUCCAACAGUGUGUGGAGAGUAUGGGAUCUGUUCAGAGGGGCAAUGUAGUUGCCCAGCUGGAAGUUCUGGCGACGCACUUUUCGAUCAGCUGGAUGACCGGCAACCUAAUCUGGGAUGUUCCCCAGCAACUCCAUUGUCUUGUGACUUGAUCCAGUAUCAACGGCUUUUGCCUCUCCCAGAUGUCACAUAUUUCAAUUUUGCAGAUGAUUGGACUACUGAUGAAGAGAGUUGCAAGGGCACAUGCUUGAAGGCCUGUUCAUGCAAAGCUGUCUUCUUCCGGCAUCAAAAUGACUCUUAUGGUUCUUGUUACCUGAUGCCAAAGAUUUUUUCACUCAUGCAUUACCAACAUGGAACCAUUGGAUAUAACUUAACUGCAUACAUCAAAGUGCAGAUGUUACCUCCACCGCCAUCGAGUAAAGGCUUGAAUGCAACUGCUUACCAUGUUGGUGUUCCUGUCCUAGUAGUACUCAUCUGCGUGCUCCUUCUCUUCAUCAAAAGGGCAAUAGCAAAGAGAAUGCAAGAGGAGGACCCGUUCAAAGGGAUUCCUGGGAUGCCAACACGGUUCUCCUACAAACAGCUGAAAGAAGCAACGAACAACUUCAGCAAAAAGUUGGGGCAAGGAGGAUUUGGUCCAGUAUAUGAGGGGAAACUUGGAACUGUCAAAAUUGCCGUUAAAUGCUUGCAAGACAUUGGACAUGGGAAAGAAGAAUUCAUGGCCGAAGUCAUCACAAUUGGCAGUAUUCAUCAUAUAAACCUUGUUAGAUUGGUAGGUUACUGCUCCGACAAAUUGCACAGGCUCCUAGUUUACGAGCAUAUGAGUAAUAGUUCUCUGGAUAAAUGGAUCUUCAGAAAAAAUCAAAGUGAUUCACUCAGUUGGUCAUCUAGAUACAGGAUUAUACUUGACGUUGCCAAGGGCUUAGCCUAUCUUCAUGAAGAAUGCCGACAGAAGAUUGUUCACCUCGAUAUCAAGCCUGGAAAUAUCCUCCUUGAUGACAAGUUUAAUGCAAAGAUAUCUGAUUUUGGUUUAGCAAAGCUCAUUGAUAGGGAUCAAAGCCAAGUCAUGACCAAAGUUAGAGGAACAAGGGGCUACUUAGCACCAGAGUGGUUGACAUCAACGAUUACUGAAAAGGCCGAUAUCUACAGCUUUGGUGUUGUUGUGCUGGAAAUCGUGAGCCGGAGAAAAAUACUGGAUGAUACUAAGCCUGAAGGGAGCACCAAUCUGAUUAACCUACUGCAGGAGAAAAUCAAGAUUGGGCAGGUCCUGGAUAUAGUGGAGAAUCAGAAUGAAGAUGUUCAAUUACAUGGUGCAGAGAUGAAAGAAGUAAUCAAGCUUGCAGUCUGGUGCUUGCAGCGCGAGUGCACCAAGCGACCAGCCAUGUCACAGGUCGUGAAGAUCUUGGAAGGUGCAAUGGACAUAGAGACCAAUGCCGGUUCUGAGACAACUAGCAGAGAUGACAUUUGUGAAGCCUCAUCCCCUCUGUCCCCGGUGCCAGUGUCAGCAACAGCAAGGUAAAAUGCUUUAGAAAAUGUAGGAAAGAACGAGACUCUUUGAGAAAAUAUUGUAACUAUUGUGUGUCAUGCUUUAUAGUUUUGUUUGUUAACAUACGUAAUGUAUGAAUGAAUAUAUAUUUUUCUUGACUCAUCACAAAAGCAAAUAGCAGGACAAGCAAAGGUAGUUUAAUUUUCCAUUCUGUUUUCCACACUAAUAUGUACUCCCUCCGUCCGAAAAAGCUUGUCCCUCAAAUGGAUGUACCUAGCACCAAGUUAGUGCUAGAUACAUCCAUUUGAGGGACAAGCUUGGGACAAGUUUUCUCGGACGGAGGGAGUAUUAUGUAUUUCGUUGUUAAGUUUAGUGAAUCAUAUACUCUAUAAAUGUAAUAAUGUACAUAUCAUUCUCCUACACUUUCACAAAUAGCAGAAUAUAUUCUGUUUUUUUUUCACAGCAUUUCUUGAAGCAAAUUUCUUACAAUGUAUUUUUGAGUUUGACAUCAAUUUUUCCAUUUGUGCUGCAUCCUUGCCAUUCGUGCCAAUUUCUUCAUUACUACCACCUUCAACAAUCAAUCGCCACAUGUAAAACGAAUAGAUUGUAAUCUUUUCUAACAAAUAACUAUGGAAAAGGACCACAAGCAUCAAAAGAUCUUUAAGACUGGCAAAGAGCAAACAGGUUUAACCUUUUCUAACAAAUAACUAACUAUGAAAGCCACACCAUAACAGCCAGCUAUUUCCCCUUCCUAAACCCUCUUUGUCAAACUAUAUCAAGCAACAGCACACAUUUCUUGCUGUCUAUUAUAUUACUGUUUUUUUUCUCAUCAAAGAGACACCACAUAUGAACGUCAAAACGCAUCAUGCAAGGCUACAACUUAGUAUCAUCUGUUCUUAUGUAUCAUCUGAAGGAAGAAAUAGGUUAGCCAUCUUUUCAACAAUUUGAGGGAGCAAAACAAAGAGAUAAAAGAUCUGUACCGCAACAAAAGCACUAAUAGAGGACACAUAGUUGAUCUUUUUUUGAGCAGUUUUUGUGAAGACAUCAACACCUUGUUCAAAAAGUAGUAUGGGUUUAGCAAAUCUAAAUAAAUUCAGACCCUGAAUAAGGCAUAUAGUAGAAUUCCAAUCGUUCGUAGAAAAGAAUUAUUCUGGGCUUCUGGCAUGAAUCAUAGAUAGGCAAUUUACUGUUAAAUUGGAACUCAGUGUCUGGUAGUACUAAAACAAAUAAUAGGCAUAUGGUCACAUAUUUAUUAAAUAAAUCAGCAAAAUGUUAAAAUGCAUGUCAAUUCACACAAACCAACCUAGCGAACAUUUGAAGGAUAGCCAAAUAAGCCAGGUCACGGCUGUCAUUGUCGAGGUGCUUACUGCCUCUCCUGCCGCCUCCUGCUCAUCCCAGUCAAUAGUCUCCUUCCAGGCAGUGCCUGUGGCCUGCACCGCAUCCAGAUCCUAGUUAAGAGAGGCAAAACUAUGAGCACAACAAUAUGAUUAUUUAUUAGGAUCAGAAAUGUUUUUCUGAGUGACAAACUUAACAUCAGCAAUCCCUGCAAAAAGAAAAAAAACUUUACAUCUGCAAUGUAGGAAAUGCUAGGUACUAUGAUUAGAACUGAUAUGUUGCAUCAGCAAAUACAACAGAAAAGUGCAUGGUCAACUAACUGGGAUACAAAUAUUAUACCAGAUGAGGUGAAUACACCUGCGAUUAUAAGAUUGAAACAUCAGGUGUGAGCUUACUGGAAUGCUAAUGCUGCAAU
rnacentral:lncRNA from 1 species